UGGGGAAUUUUCCGCAAUGGGCGAAGGCCUGACGGAGCAAUGCCGCGUGGAGGUGGAAGGCCUACGGGUCGUCAACUUCUUUUCUCGGAGAAGAAACAAUGACGGUAUCUGAGGAAUAAGCAUCGGCUAACUCUGUGCUAG
rnacentral:rRNA from 1 species